rfam:Otolemur garnettii contig079824, whole genome shotgun sequence.
UACCUCAUUCUCUUUUUUCUGCUGAAGCUCAGAUGCCUUGCAGGAAGCCCAAAGUUCUCUCCUCCCUGCACCCCCGUUGCUGCUCCCCUCAAAAGGGCCUCUUAUCCCUUUUCCCUGGUGGAGUCUUCCUACUAUCGGGCUUUGAGCACUCAUAAGAC